CCAACCGGGAUUGCCUUAGUAACGGCGAGUGAAGCGGCAAAAGCUCAAAUUUGAAAUCUAGUACCUUCGGUGCUCGAGUUGUAAUUUGUAGAGGGAUACUUUGGGGCCGUUCCUUUGUCUAUGUUCCUUGGAACAGGACGUCAUAGAGGGUGAGAAUCCCGUGUGGCGAGGAGUGCGGUUCUAUGUAAAGUGCCUUCGAAGAGUCGAGUUGUUUGGGAAUGCAGCUCUAAGUGGGUGGUAAAUUCCAUCUAAAGCUAAAUAUUGGCGAGAGACCGAUAGCGAACAAGUACAGUGAUGGAAAGAUGAAAAGAACUUUGAAAAGAGAGUGAAAAAGUACGUGAAAUUGUUGAAAGGGAAGGGCAUUUGAUCAGACAUGGUGUUUUGCGCCCUCCGCUCCUUGUGGGUGGGGGACUCUCGCAGCUCACUGGGCCAACAUCAGUUUUGGUGGUCGGACAAAUCCGUAGGAAUGUAGCUUACCUCGGUAAGUGUUAUAGCCUGCGGGAAUACGGCCAGCCGGGACUGAGGACUGCGACUUUUGUCAAGGAUGUUGGCAUAAUGGUUAUAUGCCGCCCGUCUUGAAACAAGGAACCAAAAAAGCAAAAAAACGCGCGGGGAGGCGGCGGG
rnacentral:rRNA from 1 species